GACGAACGCUGGCGGCGUGCUUAACACAUGCAAGUCGAACGAAGUGGCGAACGGGUGAGUAACGCGUAAUCAACCUGCCCUUCAGAGGGGGACAACAGGUGGAAACGACUGCUAAUACCGCAUACGGAAGGAGGGGCAUGAGUCUGAGUAGCUAGUUGGAGGGGUAACGGCCCACCAAGGCGAAGAUCCGUAGCCUGUGUGGGCGGAGGAACGGCCCAAUUGGGACUGAGACACGGCCCAGACUCCUACGGGAGGCAGCAGUGGGGAAUCUUCCGCAAUGGACGAAAGUCUGACGAAGCAACGCCGCGGUAGUGAUGACGGCCUUCGGGUUGUAAAGCUCUGUUAAUCGGGACGCGGUACCGGAAUAGAAAGCCACGGCUAACUACGUGCCAGCAGCCGCGGUAAUUC
rnacentral:rRNA from 1 species